ensembl:lncRNA
GAGAGGUUGUGAGAAUUGUUUUCCUUACGGAACCAAAUUGUGUACAUUGGUGAAAGAUCAUGAGAGAGAGAAAGAGAGAGAGAGAGAUGGAGAGGUGUACACAUCGUGUUACUGGUCUCGCAGGCUCCAAGGUUUGAUAUUUAAAGCAUUGAUCUUCCUUCCUGCUGAGAGAUGGCUUGGCCGUAGAGAGUGGAAAUGAUGAGAUAAUGCAUUUCCUUUCCGUAAACGACUUCCUGUUUUGGCCAAGCAGAGUGUACACCCCCCCCCCCCUCCUUCCACACUGCUGUUUAUAAUUGAUCCGUUGGCAUAACAUUGUCAAACCUACUUUUGUUUUCAACAUGUUUUUACAUUUUAAAGAAACCUCAGUUAUAUGUUGAUCCACCAUUUGAGUGUAGCGUUAUCGUACCGUAAGGGUUCGAGGGACGUCAAAGCUGUCAGCGACGUGAGGGGCCACCAAGGACUGGUGUGUAUAAGCGUGGCAUUAUAAAUAAUGAAAUGGAGCCAGUAAUUGGUGGUUCUUCGUAAUUAGGACCAAGCUGUCAGCUAGGAUUCUUCUCUGAUGUCUGAUGCUGCUGCUCGCUGCAUUGAGGGCAGUAAUUACUAUUAUCUUUUGGGGGUUGUUGACACAACAAGAGUUCUAUUCUUAGCCAGGAUAGUGGAAUUUUAGCGUGGCCAUUUCUCUCCCCCCUUCAAAGGGAUAGCCAUUAUUUAGUCGAAAGCUCAUCUCUUAUAAUUUGUGUUCUCAGCCCGUUUCCCCCCAUCGCGUGGACCACCGCCUUCAAAUUUUCUGCCUGAUGGCUCUGAGAUGCGCCUGUCCAUAUUUUCAUUAGGCAAACAGUUUGACUGUUUUUUUUUUUUUCUCCCCGUUUGAGCCAGAGAGAGAGAGAGAGAGGGAGGAAGUCAUGAAGAUUUGACUUUUGAAGUCUGCUUGAAGGACUCUCUCCCUCAGAACCAUCUGUUUGGACCCAGCCGAACCCAGCAGCCUGUGUCAUCUUAGCAUUAUCACUUACAAAUAAAUACGGUCCUCACACAGACCCCGGGGGCAAGAUGUACACCUCGGCGAGCUACGAUACGCCACGAGCUGGGGCGAGAGCAGCUUGGAGAGGCAACGGGUGAUUAUGCCCGCUUCCACACCGUGGAAUCCCGGCGGUCCAGAACCCCGGGAAGCUUGCGAUCGCGGGGAUGAUGUAAGGCGUCAGGAUUGGCUGUGCAACCCGGGUGUCGUUCACAGCAGAACAGAUUUGAGCUGCUUUGCGCUCGUGCGAGAUCAAAGAAAGUUGGUCAGAUGGGAAGUGGCGAGGGCUGUACACUAUGUACACACCCGUACCAUCCCUUGCAUUAACAAAUAAACCCGUACACAUAUCCUGGCUUCAUCCCGGCAUGGUUUUUCCUUGUGCUAGCCGCUCGCACAAGGUCUUACAUUAAAUCUCUGUCAUUGUUCAGAUACUUGCUUAUGCAAUACCGGCAAAGCCUGAAUAGAUCUUUGUGUGGAUAAGCUUUAUGGCAUUUUUUUUUUUUGUUUGCCGAUCCGUGUCUGCGUUGAAAAGAUGGUUCUAAAUCUUGAAUUGUUUACCUUGCUAUUGUAUUUAUACAGUCAUGAAAAAACAAAUCUUUUCAUGUUACUGAAGUCAAAUAAGUUGCUACAAAU